AAUAUAACUCCGAACCUCAGAAUAAUAACAGGAAGCAAUCGUAUUUACACCGCGACGACGUACUCUGUGGUCGGCAGAUAAGCCAUGGCGGGAAACGUCAAAAAAGGAGAUGUCAAUGUCAUUGUCAAGGAAGGAGGGAGUUGAUUUGAAUGGAGUCGUGCUCUUGUUGUAUUUUCUGAUUUAAUUUGUUUGUUAUUGAUAUAAAUCCUCAUGUUUUCAAGUUGUAUUCAUGAUUUAUGGUAAAACGAACCUAUUUCACGAAUGAGUUUACUUUUUGUGUCACCUUUUCCUUCUGGUUUUAACAUCAGAAGUGGGAUUCUUUCCACGCGCUAUUUUCCGCUUCUGCCUAUGUUUUUCAUACAAUACAAGUUAAAUCAGAAAAAUACAGAAAUAUUGGUAUUCUGCACACUUUAUUUUAUAAAUUUUCUGUCCCCUAGGCGGUGAGUUUAUGAGUUCUUGUUGUAUAAAGCCGGUACGUAAGUACAUUGGUGUUGUGAAAAGAAGUAACAGGUAGUUUGAUAUUAUUCCUGUAAGUAUGUUCUUGGCACUAUUUAUCGUGGUAAGAUUUGAAUUAGGAAGUGAUUGCAUCACGCCACUGUUGCCCGUGCUCACAGCAUUAUGCAUUAUGUUGCUACCAGUUUCAGUUAUUUCAAUAGUUCAGAUAUCAAUUAACAUUUAUUUUGAAAUUAUUUUAUAUGAAAGCAAAGAUGAAUUCAACAGUUGAGCAACAAUAUUUGAAUACACAAACUAGAUGGAGUGUCAGUGCAAAAGAAAUGUCAAUAAAAAAAAAAAUUACAUCCCACUUCUACCGCUGAGCUCUUAUUUUGAAUAAGUUUAGUUUGUGACUUUGCUAUCUCAGAGGUGUAGUAGGUUAAAAUUAAAACGGUUUGACAGUAACAAAAUGCAGAAAACUUUGCUUUUGUAUGUAUGUGGCACACCAUCUGUAUAUUGUUAAUCUAAGGUUGAGAUGAUUUUGAAGUGCUGAGUUUUGGAUUGCCUAGAGCGUGGUGUUGAAGACUUUGAGAAGACGUUGCGGUCGAGGACGUCACGCCAUCAGGAAAGGCCGUGUUACAAAUAUAACUCCGAACCUCAGAAUAAUAACAGGAAGCAAUCGUAUUUACACCGCGACGACGUACUCUGUGGUCGGCAGAUAAGCCAUGGCGGGAAACGUCAAAAAAGGAGAUGUCAAUGUCAUUGUCAAGGAAGGAGGGAGUUGAUUUGAAUGGAGUCGUGCUCUUGUUGUAUUUUCUGAUUUAAUUUGUUUGUUAUUGAUAUAAAUCCUCAUGUUUUCAA